GACGAACGCUGGCGGCGUGCUUAACACAUGCAAGUCGAACGGAAAGGCCCUGCUUUUGUGGGGUGCUCGAGUGGCGAACGGGUGAGUAACACGUGAGUAACCUGCCCUUGACUUUGGGAUAACUUCAGGAAACUGGGGCUAAUACCGGAUAGGAGCUCCUGCUGCAUGGUGGGGGUUGGAAAGUUUCGGCGGUUGGGGAUGGACUCGCGGCUUAUCAGCUUGUUGGUGGGGUAGUGGCUUACCAAGGCUUUGACGGGUAGCCGGCCUGAGAGGGUGACCGGCCACAUUGGGACUGAGAUACGGCCCAGACUCCUACGGGAGGCAGCAGUGGGGAAUAUUGCACAAUGGGCGGAAGCCUGAUGCAGCAACGCCGCGUGCGGGGUGACGGCCUUCGGGUUGUAAACCGCUUUCGCCUGUGACGAAGCGUGAGUGACGGUAAUGGGUAAAGAAGCACCGGCUAACUACGUGCCAGCAGCCGCGGUGAUACGUAGGGUGCGAGCGUUGUCCGGAUUUAUUGGGCGUAAAGGGCUCGUAGGUGGUUGAUCGCGUCGGAAGUGUAAUCUUGGGGCUUAACCCUGAGCGUGCUUUCGAUACGGGUUGACUUGAGGAAGGUAGGGGAGAAUGGAAUUCCUGGUGGAGCGGUGGAAUGCGCAGAUAUCAGGAGGAACACCAGUGGCGAAGGCGGUUCUCUGGGCCUUUCCUGACGCUGAGGAGCGAAAGCGUGGGGAGCGAACAGGCUUAGAUACCCUGGUAGUCCACGCUGUAAACGGUGGGUACUAGGUGUGGGGUCCAUUCCACGGGUUCCGUGCCGUAGCUAACGCUUUAAGUACCCCGCCUGGGGAGUACGGCCGCAAGGCUAAAACUCAAAGGAAUUGACGGGGCCCCGCACAAGCGGCGGAGCAUGCGGAUUAAUUCGAUGCAACGCGUAGAACCUUACCUGGGUUUGACAUGGAUCGGGAGUGCUCAGAGAUGGGUGUGCCUCUUUUGGGGUCGGUUCACAGGUGGUGCAUGCCUGUCGUCAGCUCGUGUCGUGAGAUGUUGGGUUAAGUCCCGCAACGAGCGCAACCCUUGUUCACUGUUGCCAGCACGUUAUGGUGGGGACUCAGUGGAGACCGCCGGGGUCAACUCGGAGGAAGGUGGGGAUGACGUCAAGUCCUCAUGCCCCUUAUGUCCAGGGCUUCACGCAUGCUACAAUGGCUGGUACAGAGAGUGGCGAGCCUGUGAGGGUGAGCGAAUCUCGGAAAGCCGGUCUCAGUUCGGAUUGGGGUCUGCAACUCGACCUCAUGAAGUCGGAGUCGCUAGUAAUCGCAGAUCAGCAACGCUGCGGUGAAUACGUUCCCGGG
rnacentral:rRNA from 1 species